rnacentral:lncRNA from 1 species
AAGAAAGCAAAAACAAAAUAACACUAAUAUUAUUUGUACUUCGGUGUCUCUGUAUACACUUUGGUGUCUCUAUUUGCACAUCUGUGCCCCUGUUUGCACUUCGGUGGUCUUGUAUACACUUCGGUGUCCCUAUUUGCACGUCUAUGGCCCUGUUCGCACUUUGGUACCCCUGACUACACGUAUGUGCCACUGUUCCGCAUAUACGAUGCCCCUGAAAAUAGAGUAAUGAACUAGCAUGUGAAUUGAGUACUAAGGAUUUGGAAUAAAUGACAUGGAUUGUUACAUGGAUUUGGUGUAAUUACCCAAGUACUAGAGUUAAGUUGUUAAUUCAUCGGGCUAUGAAAUAAUUGAAUUCUAGUUUAUUUAUGUGCUUAUAUAUUAUGACAUAAUUAUAGUAUUGGUAAGUAAAAGAUAUCAUAAUAAGUCUAUUAGUUACAUGUAUAGAUUGUUUGUAACAGCCCGAUUUUGGGCCUAGUCGGAACAGUGGUUUCGGGACCACAAAUCUGACAAGGAAAAAAUUUAUUUUUCUUAUAUUUUUAUGGUCUACGAUUUCACGAAAUUAUUUUGUAAAAAUUUUGUUCGAAAAUUUCGACGUUUGGGCACUCAAUUUAGUCAAAAGGACUAAAUUGUAAAAAGUGCAAAAGUUGAGUUCUACAAGUUAGAGGUGUCUAAUUAUUAUGAAAUUUUAAAUUGGAGGUCCUUAAAUGGUAAUUAGACCAUUGGUUAUUUAUGGACAAAAAUAGACAUGGUUAGUAAGUAAGCUAUUUAAGGGCAUUUUGGUAAAAUGCCUUAAUUAAUGAAUAAAGACAAAAUAACAUGAAAUAAAUUAUCAUCUUCUUCAAUUCUUUUCUUCAUGGCCGUAUGUAGCAAGGGAACACCAUGGCUAGGGUUUGUUCAUCUUCCAAGCUUCAUGGUAAGUCCGUUCUAGCCCCGUUUUUCUUGUUCUUUGUAUUUUUCGCAUCCCGAUAACUUGCUUAAGCUAUCUCUACCAUUAAUUCGAGCUAGAAUUUAUGUCUGAAAAAUUACCCAUAGAUGAAAAGUGUGAAUUUUGAUGUUUCAUGAUAGAAUAUGAAGCUUAGAAUUAUAUUAAGCAACUUUUGCUAAGCGAUUUUGAGUGAAAACGAGUAAAACGACAUAAUCGAUAAAAAUACUAAAUGUUCAUAAGUAAGUGUUAGAGUUGGAAUUUGAUGUUUCUAUAGAAGGGAAAAAUGUUCAACAUGUCAUAAUACAUAAGAAUAAGGAAUNNNNNNNNNNNNNNNNNNNNNNNNNNNNNNNNNNNNNNNNNNNNNNNNNNNNNNNNNNNNNNNNNNNNNNNNNNNNNNNNNNNNNNNNNNNNNNNNNNNNAGCUUCGGCUACGUAUCAAGGGAGGGACUGAACAGAGCCUUUCAGUGGUAGCUUCGGCUACAUAUCAGUGUGGCACUUAUGUGCUAAUUCUCUACGUAUCUAUGUAUAUUCCGAGUGUUCAACGGGAAAUUGACUAAGUGUAAUUGAAUAAUGAAUAUAGGUGUGGAACUGAAUUGAAUAUCGACUUAGAAAUGGAAAAGUGAAUUUUGAAUUGAAUUGUGAUUGAAAGUGAAAAAGUGAAAUUAUGAAAGAGUACAUUUAGCAACAAAACAGUUUAGACAGCAACAGUUGUGUGACUUUGAAAAAUCACCAAAAAUGGUGGAAAUUUAAUUAGAGGCUGAAUAAUAUAUGAAAUUGAAGAUUAAUGAGUCUAUUUUCACAUAAAAGAAAUAGAAAAAGCAAAAGAGUUAUAUAUUUUGAGAUAUUUGAAGUUUAAUUAGACAGAGUCAGAAUGAGUUUGGAAUCCCCUAUUUUGACUUUGGAAAAUUGUAAAAAAUUGUACAAAAAUAAUUAUGGGAUAAAGUUUAUAUGUUUAGAAUUAUCAGUGAAUCUAUUUUUAUUAGAAACAAACGGAAACUAUAUCCGAAUUCUGUACAGUGAGAUAAUUAAUUUUUAGUGAAGAGAGGUCAGAACUGUCAAACAGUGAAACAGGGGAAACUUUAAAAGAAUAAACUGUACUAUUUGGCUAAACCAAAAAUUAUGAAAAUUUUAUGGUAAGAAUAUAUGUGAAUCUAGUUUCGGAUAAAAUUUACGGAUCUUAAUUUGGAGUUCUGUAGCUCCGGGUAAAAAUAAUUUAGUGACUAUGACUCGAAUAGACAGCUUUGAAUAUACAUGUUAGUGAAUAGAGAAAUUAUAGUUAAUGUUGUUUAAAUGUGAUAUACACAUAAAGGAUGUGGAAUGGAGAGGAGGAGGAGGACAAUAAAAUGUAGGAAAUAAUUGUGUAUAAUGGUCAUAUGCCCGAUUAUAAUCGGUAAAUGUUAAAUUGAAUGGUAAAUACGUAUUGGUACCGAAGGAACUAUUGCGGUUUUGAAAAGCAAUUGACCAAAUGUAUAAGAAAUUUAGUCUUGAUAUAUAUAUAUGAUAAUAAUGAUAUAUGGAUGAUUAUAUCAUUGAGUUGCAUUGAUUAAUUCGGUUUAUGUCAUGGAAAUGUCAAGAACAUUUGUCUUUGAUAUGUGAUGAUCAUGGUUUAAGCUCAUAUGGGGAAAUAAAGUUUCAUAGUAUGAGAGUGUGGUAUUGAAAUAUAUAUAUUGGAUUGAGAAAUUAAUUUGAAUUGUGAACACGAAAUAUUGUGAAUUGAAUAAAAUGGAAAUGGAGCUUUGAAUUACAUAAGUAAGUAUCGGGUCUCGUAGGCCCUAUUUGUUAUGAAUAUAAUAUUUUGAGGAUAUGUUAUAAAGAAUUAUAAAAGCAUGUUAAAAAUUUGAAGAGUUUAAAUUUGAAUGAAAUUUUGUAACUCAGUUUAAUACGUUUACAUGUGUAAGUGUUCUAGUAAUGCCUCAUACCCUAUUCCGGAGUUGAAUACGGGUAAGGGGUGUUACAUUGUUACUUUGAAAAUAUGUGAUUUAUGGCAUGAAAAAGUCCUUUGAAAUGAAGGUUGUUUUCAUGUAUUUGAAUUGAAAAUGUAACAUUUGAGUUAUGUGGACGAAUGAUUUAGAUUGUGAAAUUCUUUUCACGAUAUGAAUGAAAUUCUUUUCACGAUAUGAAUGUGUAAUUAAAGCUUUACAGAAUAUAUGACUGUAUAAAAUGAUCUAUGAUUUAAUGUACGAAUAGGGAAUUUAUGAUAAGCUUGGUUAAAAUAAGACGAAGGUAUAUAGUAGUCAUAUAAUAGAUGAAUGGUGAAAUUGAAAUGCUUGAUAUAUUAUAUGCCUUGUUUUGGUUGGAUUUAUAUGUGUAUUGCUUCACCUAUUAACCUUGUGAAGUAUGAUGUAUAGGAAAAAGAAAUUUGGUUUAUGAUAAAAUGAGGUUUCUCAUGGUUGGUUAAUCUAAUGCAAUUGGUAAGUUUAAGUUAUUUUAUAUGAACUCACCAAGCAUUAGUUGCUUAUAUAGUUGAUUUUCUUGUUUUGUAGAUCAUCGAAAAGCUAGAAUGGUUGAAUAUUUGUCAGAGCACGAUCCCACUAUCCAUCGAUCAAUUUUGGUAGCUUUUGAAUAUAUUGAAAUGGUUAUAAGUGUCAUGUAUAGGGUUGUGUGUUAUUUUGGUAUAAUUUGAUUGUAAUAAGGUUUUAAGUGUUGUUUUAGUGAUUUGUUUGUUUUUGAAUGGUGCCAAGUUCAUUUUAUUUAUGUCUUUUGAUGAAGACUUGUAAGAGAUGAGUAUUCAUAUGAGAUGAUAGUAGUUAUGCAUACUCUCAUGUAAGUAGAAAGGAGAAGGUUGUUUGAUACGUUUGUGAUAUGGUCAUUUGGUAUGUAUAAUGUAUGCUAAGGGAUAGAAGUUAUAUUGUUGAAUAGGUACAAAGUCGAUUAUAAUUGUUGUACCUAUUGUUGUUACAUUGGUUAAAACAUAUAGAAUGAUUGAUUUGGUAUAUUUUGAGUAAGUUUGGACUGAGUUUUGGUCUUAUG